AGUGAACGCUGGCGGUAGGCCUAACACAUGCAAGUCGAACGGCAGCACAGUAAGAGCUUGCUCUUACGGGUGGCGAGUGGCGGACGGGUGAGGAAUACAUCGGAGUCUACUUUUUCGUGGGGGAUAACGUAGGGAAACUUACGCUAAUACCGCAUACGACCUACGGGUGAAAGCAGGGGAUCUUCGGACCUUGCGCGAUUGAAUGAGCCGAUGUCGGAUUAGCUAGUUGGCGGGGUAAAGGCCCACCAAGGCGACGAUCCGUAGCUGGUCUGAGAGGAUGAUCAGCCACACUGGAACUGAGACACGGUCCAGACUCCUACGGGAGGCGGCAGUGGGGAAUAUUGGACAAUGGGCGCAAGCCUGAUCCAGCCAUACCGCGUGGGUGAAGAAGGCCUUCGGGUUGUAAAGCCCUUUUGUUGGGAAAGAAAAGCAGCAGGUUAAUACCCCGCUGUUCUGACGGUACCCAAAGAAUAAGCACCGGCUAACUUCGUG
rnacentral:rRNA from 1 species